UUAUCUUUCAGAUUGGUCCACAAAGGACACCUCAGGUUUCCUCGGAAGAACUACUUUCUACUUUGGAUGGUUGAGGGCAUGAAUGGUGAUAGGUCAAAGUCAUAUUUCUCNNNNGGAUCAUCAGCCUGUUUCUUCUUCAAAAAGAAAUCAAGCCAUGGGCAAUCAAGUUACCCAUAUGAGCAACAGGCGAGCCUCAUAUCCUUGUCCUCCAGAACAAGCAGCAUCUAACCAUGACGAAGGUCGCCUUAACAUUAGAUACUUCAAUGCUGAGAGACUUCAGUUAUCCUUUAGCUGUCAAGUGAACAAAGAAAACCAACGAGUUUCCAUUGAUUGUCAUAUUUCUUCUGAUUGUUUUGUAUGCAAUACCGGCCAGUGCAGCCAUCUUGUCACUCUACAUCCUUAUCACCUUUGUAUUUGCUCUCCCUUCUUUUCUUAUCUUGUACUUUGCCUUACCCAGUCUGGAUUGGUUGGUUAGAGAAAUCAUCACUUGAGUUACCAUUCUCCUACAUGCCCGAUGUCACAAAUGGGUGGCAUUUCUCUUAUUGCCAGUCCAGUUACAUAGUGCAAUUUGACGACUUUACCUCUAUUAGAUGCUGACCAGCUUCGUGGUUUUACAAACCAUGGAGCUCAACUUGAAGUUCUUCAAUCAAAUCACCUCCUUAUCAAACAUAUUUUAGCAUGCGGCAAAUAAGUUGAUUUCAGAUGUUACAUUGGUCUUGAGAACGCUGUUCUUUUGUAAUUCCAAAAUUUUGGGGAGCAAUCAAUGAUCUGUAGUAGAAAUAUAAUGAAGACGUACGGGUAUUAUUCUGCUGCAGUGUACAUUUAGGCGCCAGAAAGCUCUUGCAAGAAGACUAAUAUGUAGAAGAUUGUCCCUGUUUUGUGUGUCGAGGGUAAUGACCUUUUCAGUACUUUGCUACUAUAUUUUGGAUCUUUGAUGGACUGUACAUUGAAUGCUCCUAUUUUGCCUUUUUUCUAUGGAAAAGGAAUUGCAUAGUUUCACUUGCAUACCAUAAC
rnacentral:misc_RNA from 1 species